ensembl:lncRNA
AGUAAGAGAAGAGUAAAAUAUGAGUAUUUUGUUGGGGUUUUUUUUCAGUUUGCUUAAUACCUGACAUAAUUCUGUUCCGACUUCCACUUCUGCAAUAACUUACCUACUGGUCUCAUGUAUGUGUGUAGGUUUUUUCAGGAUUGUGGCUUGAACAGCCGUAUGACCAGGCUAAAUCAAGCAUCAUUUGCUACCAUUUCCCUCUUUGGAAUUAGUUCAUGUGAAAGAGUAAACAACUUGGAUAUUAGCAGAUUAUUUUUGCCAAUAGACUCUGUUCAGCAAGUUAUUUGGUGUUUGUACAUAUUUUCUAGAACUACGGAAGUCUGCAUAGUUAUGCUUUACUCAUAGCAUGUUGAAUUUAGUGAUGAUUCAUGUGUAAAGUACUCAAAAUUGGCCAUGCUAAUAGGAAUUUUUUUUUCAACAAAUCUGAUUUGAGAUGUGAUACAGCAGGUAAAAGGGAUUAGUAAGCACUAAGGGGGAGUUCUGCUGAAAGAGUUAUCUGGGCUUACGUGAAGAAACAAUUCCUGGACUCCUAAUGAAAUUGUAGGUAACAAAAAUCUUGACACUGUAUAGUUACAUGAUGGAACUUCAGCUGAUAGUAAAAGCACAACCUGUGAGUUGUAGCUUUGCUUUUUUAGACCAGUACUGCCUGGAUGCAGAGGCUGCUCUGUCAGAUUUCUCUUAAGGUUUUAGUAGAGUUACAUUUCUCCCCCCAGGCUUCACCUAACAGGAGAAAUUAUCUUUUACAGCUUUCCAGUAGUUACUCUGCUUGAAAACACCUGAACUCUCUGCAGGUCUAACCACACAUAUUAACUUGAAAAGGGCAGACUAGGUAUCAGUUGAUCCUAAGUUAAACCUGUGUUUGUUAUUACUUUUUAUAUACAACACGGAUGCAAUCCUGCAGGACACACUUUGUGAGGGUUGUUCUAAAGUAAGGACUGCAAGAUUCAGAGCUCCAUCAAACAAGUCAGUUUUGCUCUCAGGUGUUGAUACAAAAAGCACGUAUUCCAGGUGGUCUGGUUUCUAUAAAUACACUCCAGAGAGACUUUGACUUUAUUCCUCAGAAGCAUAAAAGAAAGGAAAAUAUAGCCCAUGAAUUUUCAUGUACUAAAAUACAGAGAUGCAUACUGCAUUAUCUCAGCAAUACUAAUUACUUGGCGUUUAGCAAAACUUACAAAACUGCUACCAUAGAUGCUAGUAAAUCUAAAAGUUUUGAGUGUUAAACUGCCUUUGUUUACAUCUAGGCCACCUUAUCAACUUUAGUCUAAUUUCGGCGUAGUUGCAUGGAUACAAUAGAAAGUAGAAUUUAACUUGUAGCUUUCUUGCAGAAAGGGUUUUUAUGGCUUAUAACAUAGAAAAUUCAAGAGAGCAUGCCUGAAGCUGUACACCUAAUAGAAAAUACUUUAUUGUACUACCGUACAUUGACUUUUAACGCAGUGUCUGCCCUAAGAUGAGUGGCAGCAGAAAGACUUCUCACCUGGUUCACCACAGGCAGGUCAAGGAAGUAAUGAGACAUCAUGGCCAAGAGCUGCAGAACAGUGCUUCUGAUCAUGAGAAACUACACAGUGUUUACUUGUGUCUACUCAGAAAGCAGUAAAAAUAUAUGUUUAAUCUUGAAGAUUCUUGGGAAUACAUUUUAACUGUUGAAUAAAAUAAACACAUUCAGGAAAACAUUUAACAGCAGAGAUAACUGGCAACUGUAACUACUUGCCACAUGGUGACCCUGCUUUGCCCGAGUAAGGACUCCCCUGCCAGGCCAAAUGCUUUGAGGAUGCAAAGCGUUAUCCCAGUGUGUUUGACUGCUCUUCUCCAAUUACAGUACUUUCGAUUUAUAGCAGCAAUAGAACUGACUCCGAGCUUCAGUUCUUUUGGAUUUUAAUUAGAACAGAAGUUGGGCCUAAUCCUGCAUUCCUUUUGUACCCGAACUCUCCUGAGCCUUAACGGCCAUUCAAAAUUCUGACUAAUAUCUGUGAGGGUACUUGUUACAAAGGAAUAAAGAACAGAGCCAGCUGUAAGGAAAGCUGCACUUUAGAAAAAAAUACCCAGUAGUUUCCUCCACCCAUUUUUCAAGGGAAACAUAAUUUUCAAAAGCAGGAUUUUAAUGUCUUUAUCUAAGGCCUCAAAUCUACAUUCUUUCUGGCUCCCAAAAAACCAUGGGAAUGUUAGUUUUGCUUGAAUAAGGCCUGCAAGAUCCAUCCCCAAAUCUUGCUCCUUGUUAAAUUGAAUGGAAUUUCUGUGGGUGACUUCAGUGUGAUCAGAACAGACCCUUCAGCCACUAGCAUGUGAUACAGAUAUUUUAGCCACCUUCUCUGCAAUACAAUAUUGGCUAAAUCUUUUUUCACUGACCUGUAAGACACAACAGAUUGUUGUUAAAGGAAAGGAUAGAACACAACAGGAAAUACCGUUGCUUUGGGAAUUUUACCAUUAGUAAGUUUCCUUCCCCUUACAUUUUCUUGUAAAAUCAAACUAAAAUGAUUAAGUACGCAGUCUAGUAAUUUUAAACCUACAGAUCAAAAUUAAUUCUCAAAAUAUUCAAAUACUUAAAAAUAUGCACUCAAGUUUACUUCUAAAAAGCAUUUUCCCAACAAACUUAAGCUGAUAUCUAAUAGUCUAAAAUGCAGAGCUGUACUUUAUCCUAUUGUUUGUCCACGGGCAAUGUAUGGGGCCACAAUAUAUUGAAAUCAUAAUCCUUGCUUUCUGAAGAGAAAUUGUUCUGUGUAAUAAUUUCUGAGAUGCGGUUUAAAUUCCUGUCCUCCUCUAAGCAAUUUCAGAAGUCAUCUAAAAUUAUAAUCAAACAUGCUCAAACAUAUUUGUAGGCUUAAAAACAUGGUGUGAUCAUGGUCGGCAAACACUGACUAGAAGGUCAAACUGAACACUUCCUAACAGGUCAAGAGUAAAAAAAAAUUAUAGAAAGAGGAACCUCAAAAAUCUAUUACAGGGGUUACCUAAACUCUGCCUGGCCGAGAACCACACUGGCGAUUUGCCAUGAGCACAAAGGCUUCAUUAACUCAUGUUGUAUGGAAGAGACUGAGCCACCUUUAAUAUGGAAAGUUGGUCCUUUGAGGUGACAGGUGCCAAUAGGCAAUAUGCCACCCUGAUGUUUGCCAUAGGGCUAUGUGAGAUUUAAGAAUAAGAAAAUAAGUCAUUGCAUCUGCUCACGUAGAGCUUGUGUGAAAAAGGGUGGAAGUGAAGGCAAGGGCAAGAGGGAGAUGACAGGCAGCCACAUGGGCGCUAGGGAUAUUAACAUUGUUCUCAGAUGAAAUUCAGCCUCCGGACACAUGACCAGCAACCACUACCACCUCUUAUCUGUGCAGGCCUCCCCUAUGGCUGCCCUGGGGAGAUCUGCCAUCGACAUGUGAAGGAAAGCGAGAUCGGUCCCCUGGCCCGCAGGCUGUGCUUUGGUCCCCCCUGACCUAUUAGAAAAUGUUCAUACUUUUUCCCACUACAACUCACAGGGUGCAAAAACAGCAAGCGUCAAAGUUUGAAGCCCAGGCCGUCCCACCACGUGAGGCCUGGCUGCCCCGGGCAGCUCCCCUGCCCUCUCCGCCUUCCACCGCCCGCUCCUCGGAGCAGAGGCGACCGCACUACACGGCCAGGUCGUCUGACCUGGCUCUGCAGCUGCUAGACUUACUGGCCCUGCUCAAGCGCCGCGUGUCUACGAGCAGCGGUGGCUCAUGCAUCUCCACGGUGGUGCAGGCGGGCGAGACGGGCCGCUCCUCCGACAGCUCCUCCUCACCCUCCACAUCCCAUUUGCUGCCGCUUGCCCCGCUCAGGCUAGUGCUGCUGCCACUGUUGGCUGCAGCAAUGGGCGGCCCCACUGGGAGUGGGAGUAGCUGCUCCAGUGGCUCCUCCUGCUCGGGAAGGGGAUGCCGGACACUGCUGGGCGGAGAGGAUUCUGCUGAGCUGGAGGGUGCCUUCCCCUGCUGCUCAGCUGCCAUGUUGAUCCAAUUCUGCUCUGCCACCAGGGCAUGACUGUUGCUGUUGAAGUAGUUGAUGAUGGCUGGUGUCGGUGUGGGGAUGGGGGUUGGGAUGGUGACGGGGGUGGAGAUGGGUGUGGGGGUCACAGCGCGGUGCCUCUCCUCAGGAACUGGUGGAGCAACAGGGUAGCUAGCCACAGAGGUCGUGUUGGAGGGGGGCCGUGGUCGUGGAGCAGCCGCAGCAUAGCAGGGUGCCAUGGUCACCGGGGCCAGCAAUGGUGUGACAGCGCGGGUGUCAGGCAGAACAGGGGUGGGCACGACAGUCGUUACCACUACGGGUGGUGCUGGUGGUGGCAGGGCAACAGGUUUGGGCUCCCCUGUUACCAUGACUGGUGUCAUUGUUGCAACAGGCAUCUCAAGGCUGUACCGGCUUGUCAUGCCCUGCUUAAGCUUCUUCCACCCCAAGUGAUAUAUCUCAAGCAUGUUCAGCAGCAGGGAGACAGAGGCCACCACUAACAUGAAGAUGAUGAAGAUGGUCUUCUCAGUGGGUCUUGAGAUGAAGCAGUCCACAGUGUGUGGGCAAGGUGAGCGGCUGCACUGGUAGACUGGCUUUAGCUCAAAGCCAUAUAGGAAGUACUGGCCCACAAUGAAGCCCACCUCAAACAGCGUCUUGAAAAUGAUGUUGAAGACAUAGGUACGGAGCAGGGCACCUCCCAUACGGAUUCUACCACGUUCAUCACGGAUCGGGAGCUUCUCCUUCCCCCUUUUGCCAAGAGGAUCCUUGAAGCUAUUGCCUCCUCCACCACCACUGCCAGACACUGGGUGGUUGCUGUCUUUGACGUUUCCCUUCUUUUUCAGCUCUUCCUUCUCUUUCCUCUUCUCCUCCAUUCGUACAAUGUGCAGCACAUGGCCCAGGUAGAUGAGGGUUGGAGUGGAGACAAAAAUGAUCUGCAGCACCCAGAAGCGGAUGUGAGAAAUGGGGAAGGCUUUGUCAUAACAAACAUUUUCACAACCGGGUUGCUGAGUGUUGCAUGUAAAGUCCGACUGCUCGUCUC